rnacentral:rRNA from 1 species
AACGCGAAGAACCUUACCUGGGCUCGAAGCGCAGUGGAUCGGGGUAGAAAUAUCCCUUCCCCUUAAAAGGCUGCUGCGUAGGUGCUGCAUGGCUGUCGUCAGCUCGUGUCGUGAGAUGUUGGGUUAAGUCCCGCAACGAGCGCAACCCUUAUCCCUAGUUGCCAUCGGGUCAAGCCGGGCACUCUAGUGAAACCGCCCAGGAUAACUGGGAGGAAGGUGGGGAUGACGUCAAGUCCUCAUGGCCUUUAUGUCCAGGGCUACACACGUGCUACAAUGGCCGGUACAAACCGUCGCAAACCCGUGAGGGGGAGCUAAUCGGAAAAAGCCGGCCUCAGUUCGGAUUGGAGUCUGCAACUCGACUCCAUGAAGCUGGAAUCGCUAGUAAUCGCGGAUCAGAACGCCGCGGUGAAUACGUUCCCGGGCCUUGUA